rnacentral:rRNA from 1 species
GACGAACGCUGGCGGCGUGCUUAACACAUGCAAGUCGAACGGAAAGGCCCUGCUUGCAGGGUACUCGAGUGGCGAACGGGUGAGUAACACGUGGGUGAUCUGCCCUGCACUUCGGGAUAAGCCUGGGAAACUGGGUCUAAUACCGGAUAGGAGCCAUUUUUAGUGUGAUGGUUGGAAAGUUUUUUCGGUGUAGGAUGAGCUCGCGGCCUAUCAGCUUGUUGGUGGGGUAAUGGCCUACCAAGGCGGCGACGGGUAGCCGGCCUGAGAGGGUGGACGGCCACAUUGGGAAUGAGAUACGGCCCAGACUCCUACGGGAGGCAGCAGUGGGGAAUAUUGCACAAUGGGAGCAAGACUGAUGCAGCGACGCCGCGUGGGGGAUGACGGCCUUCGGGUUGUAAACUCCUUUCGCUAGGGACGAAGCUUUUUGUGACGGUACCUAGAUAAGAAGCACCGGCUAACUACGUG